rnacentral:rRNA from 1 species
GGGUUGUGAGGUUAAGCGACCAAGCGUACACGGUGGAUGCCCUGGCAGUCAGAGGCGAUGAAGGGCGUGCUAAUCUGCGAUAAGCGCCGGUAAGGUGAUAUGAACCGCUACAACCGGCGAUACCCGAAUGGGGAAACCCAGUGUGACUCGUCACACUAUCAUGCAGUGAAUCCAUAGCGGCAUGAGGCGAACCGGGGGAACUGAAACAUCUAAGUACCCCGAGGAAAAGAAAUCAACCGAGAUUCCCCCAGUAGCGGCGAGCGAACGGGGAGGAGCCCAGAACCUGCAUCAGCUUGUGCAUCAGUGGAAGCGUCUGGAAAGUCGCAGGGUACAGGGUGAUACUCCCGUACACAAAGGUGCACAGGCUGUGAGUUCGAUGAGUACGGCGGAACACGUGAAAUUCCGUCGGAAUCUGGGAGGACCAUCUCCCAAGGCUAAAUACUCCCUAGUGAUCGAUAGUGAACCAGUACCGUGAGGGAAAGGUGAAAAGCACCCCGGAAGGGGAGUGAAAGAGAUCCUGAAACCGUGUACGUACAAGCAGUGGGAGCACCUUCGUGGUGUGACUGCGUACCUUUUGUAUAAUGGGUCAGCGACUUAUAUUCUGUAGCAAGGUUAACCGUAUAGGGGAGCCGCAGGGAAACCGAGUCUUAACUGGGCGUUAAGUUGCAGGGUAUAGACCCGAAACCAGGUGAUCUACCCAUGUCCAGGGUGAAGUUCAGGUAACACUGAAUGGAGGCCCGAACCCACGCACGUUGAAAAGUGCGGGGAUGAGGUGUGGGUAGCGGAGAAAUUCCAAUCGAACCUGGAGAUAGCUGGUUCUCCCGAAAGCUAUUUAGGUAGCGCCUCGUGAACUCAUCUCCGGGGUAGAGCACUGUUUCGGCUAGGGGCCAUCCCGGCUUACCAACCCGAUGCAAACUGCGAAUACCGGAGAAUGUUAUCACGGGAGACACACGGCGGGUGCUAACGUCCGUCGUGAAGAGGGAAACAGCCCAGACCGCCAGCUAAGGUCCCAAAGUCAUGGUUAAGUGGGAAACGAUGUGGGAAGGCACAGACAGCCAGGAUGUUGGCUUAGAAGCAGCCAUCAUUUAAAGAAAGCGUAAUAGCUCACUGGUCGAGUCGGCCUGCGCGGAAGAUGUAACGGGGCUAAACCAUGCACCGAAGCUGCGGCAGCGACGCGUAAGCGUUGUUGGGUAGGGGAGCGUUCUGUAAGCCGUUGAAGGUGUGCUGUGAGGCAUGCUGGAGGUAUCAGAAGUGCGAAUGCUGACAUAAGUAACGAUAAACAAGGUGAAAAACCUUGUCGCCGGAAGACCAAGGGUUCCUGUUCAACGUUAAUCGGAGCAGGGUGAGUCGACCCCUAAGGCGAGGCCGAAAGGCGUAGUCGAUGGGAAACAGGUUAAUAUUCCUGUACUUGGUGUUACUGCGAAGGGGGGACGGAGAAGGCUAUAUCGGCCGGGCGACGGUUGUCCCGGUUUAAGCGUGUAGGUGUGUGCGCCGCAAAUCCGGUGCACUUUACACUGAGGCGUGACGACGAGGCACUACGGUGCUGAAGUGAUAAAUGCCCUGCUUCGAAAAGCCUCUAAGCAUCAGGUAACACGAAAUCGUACCCCAAACCGACACAGGUGGUCAGGUAGAGAAUACCCGGCGCUUGAGAGAACUCUGGUUAAGGAACUCGGCAAAAUGACCCCGUAACUUCGGGAGAAGGCACGCUGGCGCGUAGGUGAGGGACUUGCUCCCGGAGCCGAGGCCAGUCGAAGAUACCAGCUGGCUGCAACUGUUUAUUAAAAACACAGCACUGUGCAAACACGAAAGUGGACGUAUACGGUGUGACACCUGCCCGGUGCUGGAAGGUUAAUUGAUGGGGUUAUCCGUAAGGAGAAGCUCUUGAUCGAAGCCCCAGUAAACGGCGGCCGUAACUAUAACGGUCCUAAGGUAGCGAAAUUCCUUGUCGGGUAAGUUCCGACCCGCACGAAAGGUGUAACGAUUUGGGCACUGUCUCAACCAGAGACUCGGUGAAAUUAUAGUACCUGUGAAGAUGCAGGUUACCCGCGACAGGACGGAAAGACCCCGUGGAGCUUUACUACAGCUUGACACUGAACACUGAGCCUUGAUGUGUAGGAUAGGUGGGAGGCUUUGAAGCGUGGACGCCAGUCUGCGUGGAGCCGUCCUUGAAAUACCACCCUUUAAUGUUUGGUGUUCUAACGUGGGCCCGUGAUCCGGGCUGCGGACAGUGUCUGGUGGGUAGUUUGACUGGGGCGGUCUCCUCCCAAAGCGUAACGGAGGAGCACGAAGGUUGGCUAAUCCUGGUCGGACAUCAGGAGGUUAGUGCAAUGGCAUAAGCCAGCUUGACUGCGAGAGUGACGGCUCGAGCAGGUGCGAAAGCAGGUCAUAGUGAUCCGGUGGCCCUGAAUGGAAGGGCCAUCGCUCAACGGAUAAAAGGUACUCCGGGGAUAACAGGCUGAUACCGCCCAAGAGUUCAUAUCGACGGCGGUGUUUGGCACCUCGAUGUCGGCUCAUCACAUCCUGGGGCUGAAGUAGGUCCCAAGGGUACGGCUGUUCGCCGUUUAAAGUGGUACGCGAGCUGGGUUUAGAACGUCGUGAGACAGUUCGGUCCCUAUCUGCCGUGGGCGCUGGAGAAUUGAGGGGGGUUGCUCCUAGUACGAGAGGACCGGAGUGAACGCACCGCUGGUGUCCGGGUUGUCACGCCAGUGGCACUGCCCGGUAGCUAAGUGCGGAAAAGAUAAGUGCUGAAAGCAUCUAAGCACGAAACUUGCCCCGAGAUGAGUUCUCCCUGAGGCUCCGAGCCUCCUGAAGGGACGUUGAAGACGACGACGUUGAUAGGCCGGGUGUGUAAGCGCAGCGAUGCGUUGAGCUUACCGGUACUAAUGACCCGUGAGGCUUAACCUUACAACGCCAGAGGCGUUUUG